GUUUAUAAUUGCAUAAAAGGAGUCAAAGUAGUGGCUGCGGCGCGUCUAGGCACUUCAGAGCGGGCCGGCAGGCGGGCGAGACAGAAUGGGCGGGCACUACUAACCAAGCCAAGCCUAGUUCUCGCCGAUAGGCGCUGGUAGCUUGCUUCCAAGCCUUGCCAACUAUAAUGUGGCCAUGGCCCGAAGGAGCCUUAAGCACUUGUACAAUGCUCAAGUCAAGGCUCCAUCCUACUCGUUG
rnacentral:misc_RNA from 1 species